AGAGGGUGAGCUCAUCAUGCAUCAUACAUCCUAACCUUGGCGGAGAUUCGGCUCGCUCGGCUGGAAAUAGUAAUUGCCCAUACCCACUGUAUAUCAUUCAUAAAGAAAAACAAACCAUAGGAACCCUUCAAUAUCACGAGAUAAUCUAUUCCUUCAUGGAAGUCCUCAUUUGAACGGAAAAUUUAGUGACUGUUUUUAAUUUGGGAUUUUCAUACCUAUAGGCAUUAAUGAUGGAGAUAACAGUCAAAUUUAAGUUAUUUGAAGCAAACAGCAGUGUCGCUUAAGUGCACAUUAAUUGCUAGAACCAACCGGAGCUGAAUGUAAAUUUCCAGGUACAUGUAUGAAUUGUGAAGGACUGCUCCGAGAUUCGGUGGCCCUUUUCCAAAUUUCCAGCCCAGCUGAAUCGCCCGCUAUAUUGUCCAAAUAUAGAUCAAUCUUGUUUGAAAUGUCACAUGUGUUUCUCCAGUGUUCGAAAUUAGUUUAAAACUUGGUAUAGACAACAGGGCUAUGCCAAAACAAGAUGACAGACCUCAUAAAAUUGACAUUGACCGCAACAUUGAAAAAAAUAGCACAAAUUUAAAACAUUGUUAUUUAUUUCUAAUGUGCUUAGAAAACAUAUUUUCUUUCCAUUCCCAUAACAAUGUCCUUCUUUCCUCGUAACGUUUAUCAGAUGUCGACUUUUAGAAUAACUCUAUUGCUUUAAACCUAGAAAAUCUGCAUAGACAAUUUGGUCUAUCCCAAUUACAAUUGGCAUAGACCAGUGUCAUUUGACAUAGAUUCGGUCUAUGGUUAAUUUCGAACACUGUUUCCCUAGCUUAAAAUACUCAUGAACUAUUGAGAUAUUUGCCUCCUAUUACAUAUUAAUAAAAAACACUUUAUUUUGUUCUCACUAGGUAGUGACGAUUGAACUAAGGAAAAUUUAAAAUGCUGAAAUUAAAAGGAAGAAAAAAGAAAUUCAAGCCGAAAACAAGAAGAAAUAAAGAAGCAAUAAUAGACUCAAACCAGCAAUCUUUGCAAAUGCAAGAAUGUAGAACCCAGCAGUAAUUACGUGCCCGAGUCCUGCAGUUCGAAUGUUCCAGUACUCGUCGGCAACACUUCUGGACCUAGCAGUAUGCUUAAGACUACUACAUCAAUCAGCAACACACCUGUACCAGUCAGCAACUUGAAAGAACCCUGCUAUACUCGUGUGUCUGUGCCAUACAAUAACUCAGUUGUACUUAAUGGUCAAGAUGUGUUAACCUCUGUCAGCAACACCUCAGUACCUUGCAGUUAAAAUAAGCCUGUGCCAGUAAGCAACUCGAAAGAACCCUACUGUCAUACUCGUGUGCUUGUGCCAAAUAACAAAAUUUCGAAUGUAAUUCUUUGAGAUUUAUUUUUAAUCAACUGCUCUAAUAAUGAUGACUGUGCUAUUCAAAAUCUCAACGCUCUUAGCCUAUGGUCUUUUCUCAAAGAUUCAGUGUUUGAUGAUUUGUGGAUUCAAAGGAGAGUAUAUAUAUACAUUAUUUGCUGUGGUUCGGAAUUACCAUAGUGCUUAACAGUAAUCUUAUUACAGUUUAUUUCUAGUCAUCAUGAUCUAUUGUUUUAAAAUAUUAAUUAAGCUCUGAUUUUAAUUGUAUAAUUUCAUUUUGAUUAUGUUUAUAACCUAAAUUCAAAUCUUUGUCAGAAAUCAAUCUGUUAUGUUAAUGAAUAUUUUGCGUUUUACAUAUCUAUACGCAUGGGGGGGAAAUGGAUGCGCAUCGAUGGGCUGAUAUAAUUUUUUAUCUUUCUAUUUCAAGUUGGUAUAAUUGUCAAUUUUGUGAAAUAUUACAUGGUAACUGUUGUAAGUUUCAUAUAAUGUCCAAAAAUUGUUACAGAUAUAGCACCCCCUUGUAAUUAACCUUUUACAAAUUUACUCUAUGGGACAUAAACUGACAAAUCAUUGGAAAAAAUUCAACUCUACUCCAUGAAAUGUAUUUGAAUUUUAAUAUCCCAUGUAUAAUGUGUCUAUUUUUUAUCAUUUUAAAAAUUUGUUUGCAUCCUUAGGAUCAUUAUGAAUUUGUGUUAAUUACUUAUUGAACUACAUAUUACAUAUAUUAUUAGAAAUAUUUAAAACUACUAUACAUCUGUACAAUCUCCUUUGUUAGUUAUAUGAUUAUUAUUAAUGUACUUGUCAACUGAUGAAAAAUUUAAUCUGUUACACAGGCAUAAUUAUGUAUUGUUAAAUACAGUUCCAAUUUUCAAAUACCUGU